rnacentral:rRNA from 1 species
UUGGAGGGCAAGUCUGGUGCCAGCAGCCGCGGUAAUUCCAGCUCCAAUAGCGUAUAUUAAAGUUGUUGCAGUUAAAAAGCUCGUAGUUGAAUUUCGAGAUCAGUACGCUGGUCGUGCCUUCGGUAUGCACUGGUGUCACUGGUUUCUCCCUUCUGAAGAACCGUCAUGUCAUUAAGUUGGUGUGGCGGGGAAUCAGGACUGUUACUUUGAAAAAAUUAGAGUGUUUAAAGCAGGCUCGCGCUUGAAUACAUUAGCAUGGAAUAAUGAAAUAGGACGUUUGACCCUAUUUUGUUGGUUUCUAGGAUCGACGUAAUGAUUAAUAGGGAUAGUUGGGGGCAUCAGUAUUCAAUUGUCAGAGGUGAAAUUCUUGGAUUUAUUGAAGACUAACUACUGCGAAAGCAUUUGCCAAGGAUGUUUUCAUUAAUCAAGAACGAAAGUUAGGGGAUCGAAGACGAUCAGAUACCGUCGUAGUCUUAACCAUAAACUAUGCCGACUAGGGAUCGGAUGAUGUUAAUUUUUUAAUGACUCAUUCGGCGCCUUACGGGAAAC